rnacentral:tRNA from 1 species
GCCCUCGUAGCUCAGUCGGCAGAGCAACCGCCUUGUAAGCGGUCGGUCGUCGGUUCGAGUCCGACCGAGGGCU